CGUAUUGGACGGUAUUAUUCGACGUGACUUCGAGAUGAAUAGAGCGCACGUAUAGCUCGAAGUAUCGGACAGAGUUGUCGCUCUUUUCUGUCGCGCUGCCGCUCAGUCGGUGUCGCGCGAUCGUACAACGCGUAUCGACGAUUCACGCUCGUCCUAUAUCUCUUUUGGGAUUAUUUCUUUUGUUCGCGAUUUUAACCUCUUCGUUGUGUCACUGGUGUACACUGGAAUUUGUGGAAUUUUAAAACUUUACGAGGAAAGUGGAUUACGGAAUCGGAAUAGAUCGGAGGGAAAAAAAUCAAACAAGACUCGGAUAAGUUCGGAACACGUUUUUAUGAGAAUACGGAAAGAGAUUUCGAAGAUCUACGAGAGGAGAAAAAAAAUUUGUAAAUUUUUGCUCAGUGCGGAGUGAUUUGGUUCGAGCGUGGAUUUUAAAAAGUGGACAAAAUAUUACCUCGAUGCCAACUUUAUUUUUAACCCUUUGAAAGCGGCAGUUGAAUGGGAGAGCCGCGUCACGAAACGGAGAUAUUCUAUUAUAUCUGAAUGGAGGAAGCGUGUCCGCGGUUUGGAGAAGGAAGAUAUCGAAAGAUUCAAAGGAGCACGGUGGAACUUCUUUUUCUUUUACCUCGUGUUUAAAAAAAUCUUUUGUCCGUUUAUUAAUUAAUAGUCGCUAUUCUUCCCACUCGAUAAACGUUCAACAAUUUCGAGUCUGAAUUUCGAGCGAGGAAUUAGCAAGAUCGCGGUGUCCGAUGCUCGUGGUGUACAUCGAGGAACGCGAAGAUGUAGCUCGAUCGACCGUCGCGUGAUCAUCAAGAAUCGAAUACCACCGCGGUAACAGUGGACAUACUUAUCUAUAAUUAAACUAUAUAAUGCUGACAGUGUACCCCGAACGUGAACACUUACUCUCGCGUUGAAUACCAGUUGAGCAGUUUGAAUCUCUACAAGAGCAAACAACGAUCUCCUCGUAUUCGAUGCCUGCUAAAAUAAUACUCGGCUUUUGAACGUCGGAAGAAAGGAUCGGUCGUUGAAAAAAAAGAAAAAAAGAAAGAAGAGGAACGAUAAGAAGGAAUUCGACGAUGGGGGGACACGCAGAGGGAGCGAGGAUCGCGUGGUCAGUGGCACGGCUUCCGUCGUGGCCGUGGAGAACGAGAUUCUUAGGCCAGCUGGCCUGAGAUAUGCCAGCAGCAACAGACCUCGUAAUCACGGAACCAUCGAGAACGAUAUCGUCCUCGUCAUCGUCAUCCACGUCCUCACCGUCAUCGAGGCUGAGAACGGAAACGGCGGUAUCGAGGUGUUCUGGGGGUGUCGCUGGCCGACAGCUGGCGGUAGAGAUCGAGACGAUCGAGCGCCGGGUCUGCGCGACCCGACGCGACCUCUUCGUACCCGUGACCGUCGACCCUCGGCCCAGUCGGGCCGUCCACUGUCCAGAUCUAAACGCCUGUUUGGUGAACGAGUCUCGGUCCGGCCGCGACCAGGUCGAUUGCCAGGCGAUUCACUUCGGUUACGCGAUCCCUGUGAACGUGGUCCCCCUGGGAACCGAUCCACGGCUCGCCGAGCUCGUCUUGGACCACUCGACCGAGUUGAGCAGACGUGCCGCGAGCUUCUUGCUUGAGCACCAUCCUCAGCUGCGUCAGCAGCGGCAGACGCAGCAGGAACGUUGUCCAAGCAUGGCGGCAACCGCGAAGCACGAUCUGCGACAGAAAUUCCCGACGGACACCUCGACGUCCGGUGACGAGGACAUCGCGGCGAUCGCGAAACAGAUCAGCGACCACGCGGAGGCCAUCUAUCAGACUUGGAAGAGCCGUGGGUUAGCCCCUACCGAGAUAUUGAACUGCCACAGCAAUGCUACGGCAGCGGACAAGUUCGGAAGCGCUCUCACGCCGAGUUCCGCGUCGAACAGCGCGAACAAUACUGGGAAAAGUUCGCCCACGAGCGGUACACCCGCCACGGCGGCGGUUGAUAUACUGAGCCAAACGCCGAAUCUCGAUAACGGAAAUUUGGAGAAGCUGGUGAACAAUUUCGUGGUGGAGGACAAAGCUAGGUUAGCCGCGUCGAGGCAGAGGUCGCCCUCGAAGACUCUACCCUCGUCGAUACAGUUCGCGCUAGAGAAGUUCGAGAAGAACUCGAUGCAGCAACAACAGCAACAAUCGCAGACCUCUCCCUUGAAGAGCAGUAACGUUGGCGGUCAGGGGAAGGCGAAGCAAGGAACCAUUCUCUUGUCCCCGACUUCCCCGUUCACGAACAAACCUUCGCAGAUAGUGAAGCCUCAAGUUUCCCCGAAAACACCGGGCGCGCAUCAUCGGGAAGUGUUUUUGGAAACUAUAGAGACCACUUUUCCCGCGGACAUCACGCCCUCGAAGAUCGUGGUGCAGCAAAAGAGGCCAACCAGUACGGUGAUCACCUCUCCCACCGCUUCCUCCAAUCUCGACGAUUCUUCCACGAAUUCAGGUUUGACCACUUGGCCCCUGAAGAACAAGUUGAACGACAAUAAAAGAAUAACGGAUCCUUGUAGAUCACCGCAACAGGAAAGCAAAUCGUUGACGAGCAAGGAGGAGAAGAGGAACAGCGGUUCUAAUUCGAGCGCGUACCUGGACGAGGUUGCACGCGAGGAGGAAAGACUGAUAAACGCUCUGAAGACGGGCUCGGUGAUCACGGAGGAGCCCGUGGAGAGGACGGUGCCUCUGACUCGUCAGAAACCCGCGAUCAAGAGGGAGAAACCGAAGGUGGAGCCCGUUAAACCGAUAAUCAUCGGUCACAAUCAUCAUGGAGGGGGCCUGGUCCCCGCUUCCGCUGCCAUGGUGAACAACGUGACGUCCACCGGGACAUCGGGAACGUCUAACGCUAAUGCAACGUCAGACGCGAAAUCUCUGAGCAAGGAUGAUCUGUCCAACAUGUCAGUGGUGGAUUACGCGAAAGUCAGAUACAGAGCGGCUCAGCAAAAUCCUCCGACCCAACAGAGGUUGGAGGAGCAGAGAACGAACAACAACAGUUUCAAUUCCACGGAGCAGUUAGUGUCGACCACGAGGUCCAAAUUCGAAACGGAGAUACAAAAGGACAAGGAAGCGAGUAAAGAGGAGAAGGAUCCUGUCACGUCUAGAUGGGGCCCUAGAAUCAAUUCGCCAAGGCCAAGAAUCGAGCAAGUACCUCAUCCGGAAUUGACCACCCAACAGAAGCAGCAUAUUAGAGCCGCCGCCGCAACUGGAACCGGGAACAAUCCUAUCAGACCGUUUUUAACCAGGGGAUCCGUCGCUGAACGCGUUUUGAUCUUCGAGAAGUGCCCGAGCGAGCUGUUGCUCGACAAACGAGGGCCACGACAACCGGCCAUCAACACUUGGAGAACAGGACACGAGGUUCAAAACAAGGCUCAGACGUACGCGAAAGACAAGACACAGCAAAAGAGCUUGCCACCGCACACGACACUCCAGAGGCACGUGAAAGCGAACAGAAACGUUCACAUACCACGAUUUUACUUUCCCGGAGGAAAACCUUUGCCGUUAUCGCAAGUGGAGGCAACUAUCGCGAGGAUCACCGCCGCUUUUCAAGCUCUUCCCGGCCAUCGUGCGUCCCGAGCCCAAUUUCACACAAUUACGAAGGCAUGCGACUUGCCACUCUAUUGGAAAGUGCCGCUUUUCCUCGCGGCUGGCGGAGAUCAGACAGGCUACGUUGAGAUGAACGCGUUCCUUGAUUUUUGGAAAGAAGAAAUAUCGAACACCCACCACGAUGCGGCGAGCAAGUUUAUUCGAAUCACAACCCGGGGCCAGAGGAACAAUAUACUGCCGGAGGAUUUGAUCCCCCUGGUGCAAGACGUAGUCGAGACCCAUCCCGGUUUAACUUUUCUCAAAGAGGCUACUGAGUUCCAUUCACGCUACGUACACACGGUGAUCGCUAGGAUAUUUUAUUGCGUGAAUCGAAGCUGGAGCGGAAGGAUUUCCGUGGCGGAGUUGCGAAGAAGCAAUCUGCUCUCGGUGAUCGCGAUCCUCGAGCACGAGGAAGACAUCAAUCAAGUAACAGCUUACUUCAGCUAUGAGCAUUUCUAUGUGAUCUACUGCAAGUUCUGGGAGCUAGAUCGUGAUCACGAUCUUUUCAUCGACAAGACAGAUCUCACAAAACAUAACGAUCACGCUCUUUCCAAACGUAUGAUCGCGAGAAUAUUCAGUGGUGCAGUGACAAGGGGUGGCGUGAAAAGCGGAAACGGCGUUCAACAAUCUCAGGAUAAAAUGAGUUACACGGAAUUCGUGUGGUUCUUGUUAAGCGAAGAGGAUAAAAAUCAUCCGACCGCUAUUGAAUAUUGGUUCAGGUGCAUGGAUCUCGAUGGUGAUGGAUAUUUGUCGAUGUACGAAUUGGAAUAUUUUUACGAAGAACAAUUGCAUCGUAUGGAGGCGAUUGGAUUGGAGACGUUACCUUUCGAGGAUUGCCUUUGUCAGAUGUUAGAUAUGAUCAAGCCGGAAAAAUCAGGAAAAAUAUCCCUAAGCGACUUGAAAAAGUGUAAAAUGACUUCAAUCUUCUUUGAUACGUUCUUCAACCUCGAAAAGUACCUGGAUCACGAGCAGAGAGAUCCCUUUGCAUCUGCAAGAGAACAUGACCCUGAUGGUCACGAGGUAAAGAGCUGCAGAGGAAUACGAAUUGUUGGUCACCGAAGAGAGUGGUAACGAACAAAAUGAACAAAUGCUGUGUGAUGAUGAAAUGUAACCAUCAUCUACAGCUCAGCCAAACGAUUCCAUAUCGGAGGAUGCGUUUUCUCCAAAUUUGGAGAUUCUGGAUGGUGAAUCCGUGGACAUGGUUCAAGGUACAGAUAUCCAAUUUAAAGGAUAUUCUGAUGAUAUAUCUACAAUUAAUCCAUUGGACUCUAUUCAUCAGCAGUCGAAGAACCAAUAUUAUGACAGUGGUGAUAGCGACGAUUAUGCUGAGAGUGAUAAUUGAAUAAGGGAAAGUUGAACGUUAUUCGGAAAGAGAAAGCAAAGAAAGAAGGAAAUUAUCUCUAGACGGAAUUUAGUAGUUUAAAUGCGUAGUUGUUUUCUAUAUAGUAAGAGUGUCGUGUAAUCUUUUUGUGAACAGUCGUAUAUUAUGAUAAAAUGUUUCUGGGCGAAUUAUUCAAUACGAAUCCAUUCGGUGAUCUAGUCUGAAUGACUUCUUUAAAGUACAAAAACAUUCAAGAAUAAUUAAGAUAUUCUAUCUUAUAUUUAAGUAUUACUUUAAAAAGAUAUCGAUGAAAUAGAACUUUGGAUGUUUUUUAAAUAUUAAACAAUUUUUAAUUGUUUGAGCUAAGAAAAAAAAUAACAAAAGAAAAAUAUCAUAGGAUUCUCUUUGAAGCAGAGAAGCUUUGAUAUCACCGAAUCGAUCCGUAACUAUGAAUAAUAGUCGAGAAGAAGAUUCAGGCCACGGCACGACGAUGUGUGAUAAGCAAGCGUCAUUGUUCAAUCUCUCUAUGAUAUACAUAUUGUGUACUUCACGUUGUAAAUAGACAGUAAAUCACGAAUUCUUAUUUUUACUUAAUGCGAGAAAAUCACUUGAAAAAAAUGCGAGUCUUUCAAUUGCUGCAGCCAUUUAUAAGAAAAUCGAUUAAAAAUAGUUCUAGAAAUUUAAAAAAAAUUCAAUCAGUUAAUUAUUUUGACAAAUUAUUUUCUUUUAAUUCAAAAGAAGUUAUUUUUUAAUCUUAAAAAAAAAAGAAAAAGAAAAGAAAAAGAAAAAAUUAAAUUAUUUGUAAGAAUAUGUUUCUCUAAAAGAAAACUUCGAGGCUGCAACAAAUGGAAAUUGCGUGUCAAAAGAUUCAUAAUCGUUGGAUUUGCGAGUAAGGGGUGUUAUUACCCUAUGUAAUCAUCUUGUAAGUCAUAGUGUUACACUGUACGCAAAAUAUUGCACGCAAGAAACGUUCAAAGGAUCGAGUGAGAUUGUAUCAGUAAAGUAUUCUUCCAAUUCGA